rnacentral:rRNA from 1 species
ACCUACGGCUAUACCAUGCUGAGGACGCCUGAUCUCGGAAGGUAAGCAGGGUCGGGCCCGGUUAGUACUUGGAUGCGAGACCGCCCGGAAAUACCGGAUGCUGUAGGUG